UACGUAGGAGGCAAGCGUUAUCCGGAAUGACUGGGCGUAAAGGGUGCGUAGGUGGUUCAGCAAGUUAGUAGCGUAACUCCGGGGCUCAACCUCGGCACUACUACUAAAACUGUUGGACUGGAGUGCAGGAGGGGCAACUGGAAUUCCUAGUGUAGCGGUGGAAUGCGUAGAUAUAUGGAAGAACACCAGUGGCGAAGGCGGCUCUCUGGUCUGUAACUGACGCUGAGGCUCGAAAGCAUGGGUAGCGAACAGG
rnacentral:rRNA from 1 species